rnacentral:rRNA from 1 species
CCUACGGGUGGCAGCAGUGGGGGAUAUUGCACAAUGGAGGGAACUCUGAUGCAGCGACGCCGCGUGAGGGAAGAAGGUUUUCGGAUUGUAAACCUCUUUCUUCGGUGACGAAACGAGACGCUAGCCGAGCAGGAAGCCACGGCUAACUACGUGCCAGCAGCCUCGGUAAUACGCAGGUGGCAAGCGUUUUCCGGAAUUACUGGGUGUAAAGGGAGCGUAGGCGGGAAAGCAAGUCGAAUGUUUAAGGUACGGGCUCAACCUGUACAAGCGUUCAAAACUGUUUUUCUUGAGUGGAGUAGAGGUAAGCGGAAUGCGUGGUGUAGCGGUGAAAUGCGUAGAUAUUAGGAGGAACACCGAUGGCGAAGGCGGCUUACUGGGCUUUAACUGACGCUGAGGCUCGAAAGCGUGGGUAGCAAACAGGAUUAGAUACCCGAGUAGUC